rnacentral:rRNA from 1 species
GUUUGAUCCUGGCUCAGGGUGAACGCUAGCGGCAGGCCUAACACAUGCAAGUCGAGGGGUAUAGUUCUUCGGAACUAGAGACCGGCGCACGGGUGCGUAACGCGUAUGCAAUCUACCUUUUACAGGGGAAUAGCCCAGAGAAAUUUGUAUUAAUGCCCCAUAGUAUAUAUGAAGCGCAUGGUUUGUAUAUUAAAGUUCCAACGGUAAAAGAUGAGCAUGCGUCCCAUUAGUUAGUUGGUAAGGUAACGGCUUACCAAGACUAUGAUGGGUAGGGGUCCUGAGAGGGAGAUCCCCCACACUGGUACUGAGACACGGACCAGACUCCUACGGGAGGCAGCAGUGAGGAAUAUUGGACAAUGGGCGCAAGCCUGACCCAGCCAUGCCGCGUGCAGGAAGAAGCAUCUAUGGUGUGUAAACUGCUUUUGUACAGGAAGAAACACUCCCUCGUGAGGGAGCUUGACGGUACUGUAAGAAUAAGGAUCGGCUAACUCCGUGCCAGCAGCCGCGGUAAUACGGAGGACCCAAGCGUUAUCCGGAAUCAUUGGGUUUAAAGGGUCCGUAGGCGGUUUGAUAAGUCAGUGGUGAAAGCCCAUCGCUCAACGAUGGAACGGCCAUUGAUACUGUCAGACUUGAAUUACUAGGAAGUAACUAGAAUAUGUAGAGUAGCGGUGAAAUGCUUAGAUAUUACAUGGAAUACCAAUUGCGAAGGCAGGUUACUACUAGUGGAUUGACGCUGAUGGACGAAAGCGUGGGGAGCGAACAGGGUUAGAUACCCUGGUAGUCCACGCCGUAAACGAUGGAUACUAGCUGUUGGGUGCAAACUCAGUGGCUAAGCGAAAGUGAUAAGUAUCCCACCUGGGGGAGUACGUUCGCAAGAAUGAAACUCAAAGGAAUUGACG